rnacentral:lncRNA from 1 species
CGAAUGCUUAGAAGCUUCAAGUUGCGGACACUGCGGUGGGCCAGGGCUUGAUGACAUUUGUUGCCCAGCUGCUGGUGCUACCGCGACGUACUUGGAACAACGCUUCUGCUUAUUUCCUCUGCCUGCACCUUAUAUUUGUUGUGUUUAUCGAGACCUGGCCUGUCUCUGCCUCGUUGAAGACAAAUGGACACAAGUA